rfam:Camelus ferus unplaced genomic scaffold scaffold449, whole genome shotgun sequence.
GAAGGUAUAGCUCAAGUGGUAGAGCACAUGCUUAGCAUGCAGGAGGUUCUGGGUUCAAUCCCUAGUACCUACU